UGAAUGACUCCUCCCCACCCGGCCCCCCUUGUAUCUUGAAUCAUUGAAGCAAUGUAACUUGAUCUGGAGAAACCUUAGGAACUUCAGUGGUGUCCGCGAUUUCUGUCUCCUAGGAUUAAUGGAAGGUGCUGCCAUCAUCUCUGUAGCAAAGGUGUCGGAAGCAAGCAAGCGUGACUCCCUGCAGACCAGAAUUGGGGGCCUGGCAGGGGCGCUCAGAACCGCUCACAGCCCGUUGCCAGUAAGUCCACUUGCAUUUUAUGUUCUGAAAGACUGGUCUCACACUUGGAACUAAAUACAGCCUGGGGAAGAUGGGUGCUAAGCGCUCUAAUGAGCAGAGGAUCCCUAAUGUGACUGCCCAGCACGGAUCAUCGGGUCAAAUGACCAGCACAACCACCCUUUGUGCUGACCAGGGUUUUUUAAAGUAAUCUCUAAACCCAAGGUGGGGCUUGAACUUGCAACCCUGAGACCAAGAGCCACAUGUUCUACCGACUGAGCCAGCCGGGCUCCCCACAACUGCUGGCAGGUUUUCUAUCCUUGAAACGUGGGAGAUGAAAUUCAAACAUUUGAUAACGCUUUAGUCUCCAACAGAGCUUCCCAGGGCUCGGAGCCCCAUUCUAUGCUCUGCCUAUAAACUUCUAAAAUGGAAAAGAAUUUUGUUCUUAAAAAUAAGAGUCGGGAGAGGUAGGGUUCUCAGGUGAUGGUGAGGACUUAGGGGCACAAACACUACAUUUGUUGACUUCAAAACCAGCAGCGGCAGAAACCGAUGCGGGGGCAAGGAGUGGUGGGAUGGACUCUACUGCCCCUGGAGUCUGGGCCUGCGGGAAGUGAGGCGCGGGGCUGGGGGACCCGCCUGGGUGCGGGUGGAUACACCUGCCCGGAGGGGGGCGCCGGGGGCCCUCACUCGGCCUCCUUCUUCUCCUCCGGGACCUCUACCGACAGGAUCUGUUCACUGGGAUCCGGGCCCGGGCUCAUGCGGAUCAGCACCGAUGGCUCUGAGGGCCCGGCCUCCCCCUCCCCGCCUUCCUCGGGCCUCUCCGAGGCAGGUGGCGAGGCAGGUGGCGAGGCAGGUGGCGAAGAGCGUGUGGCCGGGGGCUCCUGGGAUUCUGGGUGCUCGGGCGCUGGGGGCUGGUCCUGGUCUGGGGCCGCCUGUCCUGCCUCUCCUGCAGCAUCCUGCGAGCUCUUGGCCUAAAAUCCAGAAAGGGUGAUUGGUAAGGCAAAGAAGGUCUGAGAGUUCUUUGAGGGGUCCUGGAGGAGUCUUGAACAGCUUCCUGCUCCCCUUCUUGGACCCCCAAAAAGGAGGAUGGCAGAGUGCACAGGGGUGCCAUCUAAUGUAUGGGAAGUGGGGGGCCAGAGGGCAUCAGGAUUAUUUGGUAGGAACAGAGUAUGUUAUGGGGAAGUUUAGGGAUUAAAAAUCCUGGUUGGAUCUAGUAGAAGGUCUUGGGGAUAUUUUCCAUCUCUGUUGAUGGGCAGGGCCAGAAGCCAGAGUGAGGCUGUGGGUUCAGGCCUGCCCCUGAGCUAUGGAGGAAGGAGGGGUGUGACCCGGAGGGAGCACCAGCAGGGACUUUGCAAAGCUGAGCCAACUGCCCUGUCCACCCCAGUUACCAGGGCUGGGUGCUCCUGGAUGGAUGAGAACAAUUCUAAGCAAACAAGGUAAAAAGGCUGAGAGGGUAAAAGCUGCUGUGGCCCGGCCUCCUUUCUGGAAGGUCUCAUAGGUCGAGCCUGCCACCCGCACACUCUUAUUCCCCAGGAAGGAGGAUGGGCAGGGUAGUACUGGCAUUAGGCUGGGCUGAGCCCCCAUGUUUGGGGACUUGGUGGGGACUUCCAGCCUCUAGCCUUCGUGGUUCCUGUGGACACUGACCAGUCUGUGUGUCAGUAAAAACCCAAGCCUUCAAAGAUACUCAUGGCCUGUCCUGCCCUGUCUGACCCACUUCUGUGGAGACAUAAAGGGGACAGAGGGGUUCCCCGGAGGAGACCUGAAUGGCCCACAGCGAUCUAAGACCCUCUUAAGGUAGCAGCAGUGAAUUUCAAAUGAGAGCAGUCAGCAUGCUUGUGAGGAAGAAGCUUGCUCAAAUCAUAGAGUGUUGAAGGAAGGGAAAUGGGGAAGCCCACUCCUAGAACCCAAGGCAACUCUGGGGACCCAUCCCUCCCCCCAUCUUGGAGUUCCUGCAUGUUCCACCAUCCCGUGUCUGUCCUAAACUCCGACGACGACGACGACGACGACACACUCCAAGGCAGGAUGGUGCCCAUUAUGGGACUUCUGGAAGUAUCCUGCUAUGAAUGGAACCAGAAGAAUCAUGGGGAGUUUAGUCAGGUGUUUUGCCAUGCCAAAAUGCUUUUAAAAAGAUAUCCAAGGUACCCUGCUUCAUCUCUACAACCCUACGCUGGAACCAUGAGUAACCUGAGUCUCAGAAAGCAUGAAGAGCUUCUCCGGGUCACAGAGCUGGCAGUGACAGAGCUGGGAUUUAGACCCGUGUCUUUGGAUUGUUAUUUCAGAACUCCUUGCACUCGGCAUUCUGUCCUGAUUGUUCUAAAAUUGCCUUUUAUUAGAAUUCUCAUGCAAAUUUAAUUCACAUCUCCAAGCUGCCUGGGUGAAGAGCUAAUACUCAGGAGCAAAAGACCCAUUUCAUAUAAAAGCCUUUCACUGUAUUGAGAACAGUCUUGGAGUUCAUGUCUGCUCAGUCCCAUGCAGCAGCUGGCACCAAAGACCUCAACUUCCUGGCUCAACCUUGACCCUGGCUCUGGGUAAGCCAGGCAGUCAUGUCUGUCCUCAGUCUGGGGCCAUGGGUGGCUGUAUCUUGAGAAUAUCUUGGAACCCUGGGUGGCUUUGAUGGCACCUCCCAGACUCCAGAUGUCAAAUGAUCUCCUGACAGGUUCCCUGGACUCCGACACCAGCCUGGCUUGUUCCAACCUAGGUUCCUUUGAAUUCUGUUGUGUAGACUGCAGCACCCUCCUGGCCACUGAGCUCCUGCCUACCCACCACCCCCCUUCCCAGCAGCCUCCCUAAAGGACAAUCGUGAAUAGUCAUAAUUAGUGCAAUCAUUCUAAUUGGCAUUUUUGGCAUUAGUCACAGAAAAGAGUCCCAGAACUAAUUUUAAAAUUCCCUUCAGAUUUCCAAGGGGGGGGGGGGGGGGACAGUCAGCACUGUGCCUGUCAGCAGGGUUUUUUCUCUUUAAAUCUCUGAAAUUGUCACAGAUGCAAAUAUUAAAUAUGAGACAAUCACUGCCAUCUGGGGAGGGACACUGCCCGCUCACACCCAGUGCUCCUACCUUUGCAACAGCACCAGGACUCCCUUGGGGGGAUUGCUCCCCUCGGCCCAGGGAUGGCACAGGAGCCUGGCCUCUCCCAGGGCAGCACAGUGAACGGCUCAGGAAUUGACAUGUGACCCAAAUCUGUCCAAUGACAAUGAGCCCUGGGACUUUUGCUGGAAUCACUGGGCAAGAGGGACUUUCUAUGGGAGUUGCUGCUAAACCAGGAGGAUGUAAUCCUAGUGCUCUUGUGAUCUGAAGUCAUCAUCGAGGGAAGCAGAAAUGACAAGAUGGCAAAGCUCAUCCCAUUGGCAUUAUUUGAACUUCUGGAUCCAGCCUUGUCUGAACUUUUAAGCUACUUGACCCCAUCCAUCCCCUGGUCUCUUAAGCUAAUGUGAGCUUGCACCAUGACCUGGAUUUCUGUUACUUGCAACCAAAGGAGUCCUGACUGGUAUAAAGGAAGGGGAGACAUUCCCUACAGUGCAAGGCAUGGUCCACAAUCUGGCACAAUGUUGAAAUGGGGGUGUGGCUAAUUCCCCACCAUCUUACCUGUUCCAGCAACUGUUGCUGCCUCGCAGCUGCCUCCAGUGCAGCCAGUUCUUUGAGCCGAGCCCUCAGGUGGGCAAGUUUACCGGCUUUGGCUCCCUUGGCGCCCAUCUUUCCUGCUACGGCCAGGGCAGCAUUGAAGAGCUUGGGGGUGCCUGCCCGGGGAGGAAGGAUGAGCACGCUCUUCGGCUCCUUGGGCUUGUUGUUAUUUCUCAGCAUGCGCCUGAAAGAAAGCAGCACCCACAAACAUUACAAACAUACUCCAGAAGAGAAGAAAGGCUCCUCGGCGGAGGACUAUGAUAGAGUUGCACGGUGGCGGUGGUCGUCUUGGCUAAUGGUCUGUGAGCAAACACAGCGUACUUAACGCUUUAUGCACAGCAUCUCAGUGAUCGGAACAACCAGAAUGACAUGGGUCUUACCGUCUGGACCUUACAGAGGAGGAAAUUGGAGGCUCAGAGAGGUUGAGUCACUUUAGUGAAGUCACACAGGAAAUACCGAAUGAUACUAUAAUAUAUGGACUCAGAAACAGGAUGCCCAGGUGAAAAAAGAUACGCUUUUUGCUUCUCUCCCUUUUGCAUAUGUCACCAUCCUCACCAUUACCUCCGUCAACAUGUAAUGAGUGUCUACAUGUGUCAGGCCCUAUGCUUGGUCCUUUAGAGGCACCCUGAUGGCUCCUGGAGACCUCCUUUCUGGUGUCUCUUUCUCCAUGUGACUUGUUUUUGACCAGUAGAAUACAGCAAGGGUGAUCAGAUAUCCCCUUUGUGAACAUGUCACAUGGGAUUGUGAUCUCUGUCUUGCAAGGACUCUCCCUUCCUGGCUUUGAUGCAGCCAGUGACCAUGUUGAGGGAGGCCCAUGUGGCGAGAACCAAGGGAAGCCACCGGCCAGCAAUUAGCUGGGAACGGAGGCCCCCAGUCCUCCAACCGCAGGGAACUGAAUUUGGCUGACCUCCAUGUGACCUUGGAAGCAGACCCUUCCCCAGGGGAGACAUGAGAUGAGACUCAGCUCUGGCCAGUACCCACCUAAGCUGUCCCAGACUUCCGACCCAUAGAAGCUGUGAGACAUCCAGUUGAUUCACUGACACUGAAAUGAGGACCCACAAAAUCGCCAACAACGAUCACAAAAAUGUGAAAAAUGUGGUGCUAAAUAGACCAUGAAAAGACACUUGUUUACAAGUGUUCAGAUGCUUCUGAGCUGAAACAAUAAAGCAGAGUGUCACCUUGUUUAACUCUUGCUGGGGACAUGAGCUUAGGGCCCAACUCAAAUUUUUUACCGCUCUGUGCACGUCCACAAAUUACUAGGAAUGCCCACGAGUACUGAUUUUGGGGUUACAAAUACAUUUUAGUGAGUAGGUUAGUUACAGACACAGAAUCACAGCUACGUGAAUAAUGAGCACAGACUGUACUUCCCCGUUUCUCAGGUGAGUAGGGGGAAGCAGGCAGAUGUUGUGAGAAAAGUUCAGACAGACUAGCCUUUGGAAGGGCCCAGUGACUUCCUUAAGAGCAAACAGGUAAAAUGAGUUACAGGGCAGCUUCCUUCCUCAGAGGAUGCCAGCAUCCUGUGGGUAUUAUGCUUCACCAAUACAGCAUCACCCCCUCUUGGCGUUGCCAAAGGGGUCCUGUUAAAACUAAGUCCUGGAGCACCUGGGUGGCUCAGUGGUUGAGCGUCUGCCUUUGGCUCAGGUUGUGAUCCCAUGGUCCUGGGAUUGAGUCCUGCAUGGGGCUCCCCGCAGGGAGCCUGCUUCUCCCGCUGCCUGUGUCUCUGCCUCUCUCAUGAAUAAAUAAAUAAAAUCUUGUUUUAAAACAACAAGAACAAACCCCUAAGUCACAUCAAUUUGCUUGUCUGUGUAAAACCGUACAUAGCUGCCCUCUCCCUCAGAGUAAAACCCAAAGCCACUGUAAGACUUCAUCUCCAAGGCCCCACCCGAUCUCAUCCCCUGGACCUCUCCCCUCCCAUGUCAAGCUACACUUACUUUCUGGCUGGUCUGCACACACACACUCUCUCCUCUGCAGAGCCUUUCCAUGUGCUGUUGCCUCUGACUAGGAUGCUCUUCCAUGCAAGCAGUCCCAUCACUCUUUCAGUCUGUGCGGAUUUCAGCUAAAAUUCCACUUCCUCAGAAUGGCUUUCCCUGCCCAACUUAUCUCAGAUAACUCCCUCCAUCACCUCUGUCUCCUCAAUGUGGCUUUGUUUCCUCACAGCCCUGUCCCCAGCUGACACAUCACAGAAUCCUUCAUUUCUCCAUGGUCGGGCUCCCUCAUUAGGAGGCAAGCUUUAUUUGGUCCCUGCUGUGUCCCUAGGGCCUAGAACUAUGUACUCAAUCAAUGAUUGUGCACUCUGAGUUCCCUUUAUGGUGACUAUUCUCUGUACAGUUUAUUUAUGGUGUCAUUUCAUAGAAUGAGGUAGAAAAUGGGAAUAUGUGGUAAAAGGCAAUGGAGAGAAAAACAGGAUAUAUAGAUUUAAAAGGCUUUAUCCAAUGGCAAAAUUACAGAGAGUACUUGAUGGGUAAAGAGGAGCAAUUAUCAUUAUGAAUAUUCAUGGAGUUCUCCCACCUGCCGGGUACCCUGCUGGAGAUAUUCACACACACUUACUUUAUUUAAGCUUCCCAACAACAAAAUAGGGGGUUAAAACCCUUAUUUUACAUAAUUGCAGAAAAUGGAGACCAGAGAAGUUAACUUUUCUGUGACUUUUCCAAGGCCACACAGCCAGUACCUCAUACUACAGAUAGGGUGUGAGCUCCAUCAGCUUCCUGAGCCUGUUGUGGAUUUUCUACCACACUGUGUUGCCUCUUUCACUCGACUGGAAAUCUGAUCUUAAGGGUCUGAAAACAAAGACCUGCUUCUCUAAAAAGUUACCCACUCUUCAACAGUACAAAAUGCAGAUGCACAAGGUUAUUCCUCAGGGAGCUGCGUAUAAUGGCAAAAUACUGGAAAUGACCUUACUGCCCCUUCCCAGGAAUGCUCUGCAACUGUCAGAGGAAUGAGGGAGCUGUCUAUGGACUGAGAAAAAACAUCUUCUGGGUUGGUUGUCAUGUGAAAAAAAAAAAAAGCAAAGUGCAAAAGAAAA